UACGUAGGGGGCAAGCGUUGUCCGGAAUCAUUGGGCGUAAAGAGCGUGUAGGCGGCCCGAUAAGUCCGCCGUGAAAGUCCAGGGCUCAACCCUGGGAUGCCGGUGGAUACUGUCGGGCUAGAAUCCGGAAGAGGCGAGUGGAAUUCCUGGUGUAGCGGUGAGAUGCGCAGAUAUCAGGAGGAACACCGAUGGCGAAGGCAGCUCGCUGGGACGGUAUUGACGCUGAGACGCGAAAGCGUGGGGAGCAAACAGG
rnacentral:rRNA from 1 species